rnacentral:rRNA from 1 species
AUGUUUGCUUCAGAGAAGGAGGGAGGUAAUGCUAGGUCUAACAGUAUGAUGCAAGCUUUCCGUGAUUGCCUCUUGGACUGUGGUCUGGAAGACCUAGGCUACAAGGGUGACUGCUUUACAUGGCAAAGAGGAGAGAUUCAGUAGAGGUUGGACAGAGUUGUUGCUAACCAAGCAUGGCUGCAGAAGUUUCCCUUGUCUGCAGUUACUAAUGCUGAACAUGUCCACUCGGAUCACCGGCCACUGAUCCUUGAUACUGGAUAUGAGGAAGCUGUUCGUUUUGUCAGCCCGGCAGGUGUCCAGCAUUUUGAGGCGAGAUGGCUUCAGGAGGAAACUGUUAAUGAGAUAGUCAAAUCGGCAUGGGACCGAGCAAAGGCAGCAGGUAUUGGACCCUCUCUUGCCGACAGGACCAAGGUUGUCCAUGCGGACCUCCAUGAUUGGGAUCGCAAUGUUCUCAAAAGCCCAAAGAAGCUCAUAAGGAAGCUAAAGAAAGAACUGGAGAAACUUCGCUCGGGACCAAACACUUUAGAGUCUCGGGCUAGGCUAAGGGAGGUGCAAGUACUUUUGGAAAAUCUGAUGGAUUAA